GCCUGCCGUAACCCUCCCGCCAUCUCAGUGUCCUCCAAUUCCAUGACUGGAGUCCACCACAGGGCAGUGCGACUUGGACUGCUGGCCCUUUCUCCCGGCUCCUGGCUCAGUAACCUGGGAGGGAGAGAAUCUGAUCCCUCCAGGUCCCUGGGUGAGGCCAGCGGAUGUUAGGAUGUCGCACCUGGCAGCCCAGCCCCUGGCUCUUCAGCCACCAAUCAAGGCACUGAGAAGAAGUUCGCGGCAGGUGGCAUCAAGGUCGCCAAUCAGCUGACCAUAAAAUAGGGAGCUGGGCCUGACGCUCGGGCCCAGCACAGCCACGUGAACCCUGAGAAGCGGGAGAGGCGGGGGAAGAAGAAAUUCGCUCUGCCCUCAGUAGCUCUGCAGGCCGAGGGCAGCACUUGGCCUCUGGGCUCGGAGAAUGGUCCGCACCAUCUCCCAGACACGGGGCUCUUGGUCGGACGGGAGCUGAAUUCUGCAAACCUGGAUGAGCAGGGACUCAGAGGGGUCCACUGAGUUUCCAGAAAGACAGCAGCCCGGCUGGGAACCUGACUUCGGCCUUGUGACCUCUGACCUAUAGAGAGUAUAAGGGAUCAGAGGAAACAGGCUGGCAACAGGAAGAGUUGGGAGAAGAAGGCUGAUGGGGUGGAUGGCAAGACCCUUCCCCAGGCUGCAGCUCAAAAGAAAUCUCCUAGGGCUAGGGAUUUAGCUCAAUGGCCCUCACCUGCCUUGCAAGUACAAGGUCCUGAGUUCAAUCCCCAGUACUGGGAAGAAAAAAAAGAGGAAGAGGAAGAAGAAGAAAUCUCCUAGUACAGCUACAUUUACUGUGAAGGAAGGGGAGGACUCAGUGGGCUUCACACCUGUGAGGAGGUUGCUUCAUUAAACUAGCAACUUGAGCCAGUGCCUCUGACCCUCUGCCUGUCUCUAGACUGUGGCUGGCCGGGGAGGGGGGAGGUGGUUACUCUCUGCAGUGCGUUCAGGUGCUGCUAAGUGCUGGGAUGUAUCUCAUAAGGGACAGCGGAAGAAUCAGACAAAGGGGAAGGAUAAUACCAAAUUUAUAUUUAAAAAGCAUCACUUGGGCUUAAGUGGGAAAUGACUCUAAGCUGGGUAACCAAUUGUGUGUUCAUCUGUAUCAUCAUUUGCUUUAGAGUUUUCACUUUGAGCAAAUUAAUGAUUCUACUUUAUACUUGUAGCUUCUACUGGGGCCAUCUCAUUGUUGUUCUUUGUCUUUUGGUGGGGGGUCUUUUGGUAGCAUUUGAGGAGUUAAUGUACAGAUCUUCACCUUAACCUGUGGAUAACUUCCAACGGCACCUCUGGUCCAAGGACAGCAUACAGCACAUUCACGACAGAUCAGGACAUGAAGAACUCCUACAGUGAUCUCAGGCAUUGUAUUACAGUUACUACAGUGGACCCUCAAGUUAUGACUGGCUGAACAUACGAAGAACUUUGUUACAAACAGAAUUUUAGGUUUAAUUUACAAACAGAGUCUUGAGUUACAACCUGAAUGCUUAUCACUUGUGCUUCCAGAUGGUCUCAGACACAGAUUAACCCCCUAAAGAGUUCUGGAAGGAACAUUACAGCACCCUUUCCUGAGUGGGGUUCACUGAGAAAUCCUGGGCCAGUGUCUCUCUAAGGGCACUGAGAUCUGCCUGUGUACAGAGACACUUUGAAGGCUGUGUAGAGGAGCUGAGCCUUCAAUUGACCAACUUGAGUUACAACCAGUGCUCGGGAAUGAAUUGAGUUCAUAAGUCAAGGGGCCACUGUGUUUCUUUCUUUGAUGGUGAUCUUUUAUUAGCAAUAAACCCUCUCAGCAGCCACAAGUCCAAAACUCCCACAUAUUUGACAAAUUAUGGGCUGAAUUAUUGUUUCGCAAGGUGAUGUUGAUAAGAUAAUAUAUAUAAAAUGUUAACCAGCAGGGAUUUAGCUCAGUGGAUCCACCUCCUGCCUCGAAAGCGUAAGGUCCCAGGUUCAAUCCCCGGUACUAAAGAAAAAUGUUAACCAAAGGAAAACCAGAAGACAGAAACCUGCUGAAAAAUCAGCUAUUUCAAAAUGUAGGAUUUAUAAGACACUGACUCUAACAACUGAAUACAUGCAGAUAGAGAAGGUGCAUUGCUCACUGCUCUGCAGAACAUGACUCUUCCAAGCGCCGGUGCAGGCUUUCCAGGGUACAUGCCCAUGGUGAAGUGACAAUUUAUUGGCUCCAUCAGGAGAAGAGAAAUUCUGAAUUAAAUGAUGCCACUUUAUCUCUAUUAUCAGAUGCUUCGAAUAAGUUAAUUUCUUCUUCUUCUUCUUUUUUUUUUGGUACUGGGGAUUGAACUCAGGACCUUGUGCUUGUGAGGCAGGCAAAGGCACCACUGAACUAAAUCCCCAACCAAGUCUAUUUCAAUAAUGAUCAUUUAAAAAAAAUAAUAAUGAUCAUUUAAGAAAAUCUAAUUCAUAGAAUAUAAGUAAAUCUUAGGAGUUGAUUUGGUUGGCAUUAUUAUGAAUCCUAUUGGGAAUUAAGUUUAAAAUUUUUGACUUUGAAGAGGAAAAUAUUUUGUGAUAAUAUAAAUACAAAUUUUGGUAACAGACAUGUGGUAUAAACUUUGUGUCUUUACCAAAUUUAAGAACUUAUGGAUCUGAAGUGGAUUUAUAUACUUGUAACAUAUAUACUUUAUAAUUGCUGGUAAACAAGCUUACUAUUCUACCAAUUACAUUUUAAUAUAUUUAACUAGAACUUUGUGAAUAUGUUAACAGGAAUAUAUAUUAAAAACUCUGUAAUAGUUUAUGAUAUUGAUAAUGUUGAACACACAAAACUGCUUUUUCAUGGCACGAUUUGUUUAUUUUCUCUUUGUUCAUCAGCAAUUGCAGUUUAGAAGUGUUGGAGCCUUUGUGGACUCUCUUGAAAUCAGCCUUUGUUACCUGUAGUGUUCUAACAUAUUUUGUAUACUGUUCCUUUAGCUACUAAUUGCAUUUCAUACACAGUAAAUUGGGAAUUUUUAUGCCAGUACAGCAUUUAACAAUUGGAACAGCAAAAAGUGUAAAUUUCCAGAAAAUUGUAGUUAUAAAGCAGAAAAUUUAGAAAUAGGAAGUCGUUUAUCCCUGCAAAAAUGAGGGAAUGGAAAUGAGGAUUUCAAUGGUAUAAUAUCUCAUUCCAAAGGAUUAAGUUUGGUUUAGAAUAUUUCAAUUUGGGGGAAGGCUCUUUUAAUGCAGUUGUUUUCAACUGGAUUCAUUAGUGUUCUGUGCCAAGAUUGGGAAGUGGGUGGAAAAUGCUUACACUUUGCAGCAUUUACAUUUGAGGAAACAUUAAAAAAAUCAUAAAUGGUGGCAACUCUUUGGAAAAAUUUGUUUAAUAAAUAUUAUGUAUCAAAGAAAGGCACUCUAAAGAGUUCAGAAAGACAGUAUCUGUGAAAAUAUUUGACCUGCGGUACCUACAAUCUCAACCUGAAGGUCAGUUUUGGUCUGGGUUUAUCAAAUUCUAUAGAGUAUUUUCUCAAUGAAAAACAGUAUGGGCCUCAGCAGAAUAGGUUAAAGACAUAAUAACUCAAAAUGUAUUAAUAAUAAAAUUAAAAGAC
ensembl:lncRNA